GCUUGUGGCUACAUCAACUCUCUGAUUAACGGACGCGCUGCUGGUCGAUAACAGUUGUUCAGUCUGGCUGCCACCAUCAAGGAAUACGAAAUCAACAUCGACGACGCAAAGAAGUCUGAAUUGUGAGCUGCCCAGCAACGAGGCGGGGAUCAUCUGGGACAGCAUCUGCUUCGCUCCUGGCUGCUGCAGAGACGAGUCUUUCCAUGAGCUACUACUUCCUGCAUCGGGUGGCCGACUCAGGGCGUCGCAGAUUCCUCGCCGUGCAGAGGGGCGGAGCUCUUCCAAGCUACGAUCGUGAAGGCGUGAGAGCCCGACUGAGAAGAGGAGCGCAAAUC